CUUCGGUACAUCGGUGACAGGUGGUGCAUGGUUGUCGUCAGCUCGUGUCGUGAGAUGUUGGGUUAAGUCCCGCAACGAGCGCAACCCCUAUGUUAGUUGCCAUCAUUCAGUUGGGCACUCUAGCGAGACUGCCGGUAAUAAACCGGAGGAAGGUGGGGAUGACGUCAAAUCAUCAUGCCCCUUAUGACCUGGGCUACACACGUGCUACAAUGGUUGGUACAACGAGUUGCGAGUCGGUGACGGCGAGCUAAUCUCUUAAAGCCAAUCUCAGUUCGGAUUGUAGGCUGCAACUCGCCUACAUGAAGUCGGAAUCGCUAGUAAUCGCGGAUCAGCACGCCGCGGUCGAAUUACGUUCCCGGGCCUU
rnacentral:rRNA from 1 species